rnacentral:rRNA from 1 species
UACAGAGGUCUCAAGCGUUGUUCGGAUUCAUUGGGCGUAAAGGGUGUGUAGGUGGCGCCGUAAGUCGGGUGUGAAAUUUCGGAGCUUAACUCCGAAACUGCAUUCGAUACUGCCGUGCUUGAGGACUGGAGAGGAGACUGGAAUUUACGGUGUAGCGGUGAAAUGCGCAGAUAUCAGGAGGAACACCAAUGGCGAAGGCAGCUCGCUGGGGACGUGACUGACGCUGAGACGCGAAAGCGUGGGGAGCAAACAGG